rnacentral:rRNA from 1 species
UAGGGAAUCUUCGGCAAUGGACGAAAGUCUGACCGAGCAACGCCGCGUGAGUGAAGAAGGUUUUCGGAUCGUAAAACUCUGUUGUUAGAGAAGAACAAGGACGUUAGUAACUGAACGUCCCCUGACGGUAUCUAACCAGAAAGCCACGGCUAACUACGUGCCAGCAGCCGCGGUAAUACGUAGGUGGCAAGCGUUGUCCGGAUUUAUUGGGCGUAAAGCGAGCGCAGGCGGUUUCUUAAGUCUGAUGUGAAAGCCCCCGGCUCAACCGGGGAGGGUCAUUGGAAACUGGGAGACUUGAGUGCAGAAGAGGAGAGUGGAAUUCCAUGUGUAGCGGUGAAAUGCGUAGAUAUAUGGAGGAACACCGGUGGCGAGGGCGGCUCUCUGGUCUGUAACUGACGCUGAGGCUCGAAAGCGUGAGGAGCAAACAGG